UGAAUACGAGACGCUAAGGCGUCGAAGUAGUGUAUGUCAUACUUCCAAGAAAAGCUUGCACUGUCAUAAGUAAAAAAUGCCUGUACCAUAACCGACACAGGUGGGUAGGUAGAGUAUACUAAGGGGCGCGAGAUAACUCUCUCUAAGGAACUCGGCAAAAUAACUCCGUAACUUCGGGAGAAGGAGUACCUUAUUCUAUAAGGUUGCAAUAACAAGAUCCAAGCAACUGUUUAUCAAAAACACAGGUCUCCGCUAAGUCGUAAGACGAUGUAUGGGGGCUGACGCCUGCCCAGUGCCAGAAGGUUAAAGAAGUCGGUUAGCAUUAGCGAAGCUGGUAACUGAAGCCCUGGUGAACGGCGGCCGUAACAAUAACGGUCCUAAGGUAGCGAAAUUCCUUGUCGGGUAAGUUCCGACCCGCACGAAAGGCGUAAUGAUUUGGAUACUGUCUCGGAGAGGGGCUCGGUGAAAUAGACUUGUCUGUGAAGAUGCGGACUACCUGCACCAGGACAGAAAGACCCUAUGAAGCUUUACUGUAACUUGAAAUUGAAAUUGGACUUUAUUCGCGCAGUAUAGGUGGGAGGUGUUGAUUAUAAUCUUGCGGGAUUAUUGGAGCCAUCAGUGAGAUACCACUCUUGUAAUGUUAGAUUUCUAACUUUGAAUCAUUAUCUGGUCAAAGGACAGUUUCAGGCGGGCAGUUUGACUGGGGCGGUCGCCUCCCAAACGGUAACGGAGGCAUACAAAGGUUUCCUCUGAACGGGUAGAAAUCGUAUCUAGAGUGUAAAGGCAUAAGGAAGCUUGACUGUGAGACCUACAAGUCGAACAGGGACGAAAGUCGGUCUUAGUGAUCUGACGGUACUGAGUGGAAAGGCCGUCACUCAACGGAUAAAAGUUACUCUAGGAUAACAGGCUGAUCUCCCCCAAGAGUUCACAUCGACGGGGAGGUUUGGCACCUCGAUGUCGGCUCAUCGCAUCCUGGGGCGGUAGUACGUCCCAAGGGUUGGGCUGUUCGCCCAUGAAAGCGGUACGCGAGCUGGGUUCAGAACGUCGUGAGACAGUUCGGUCCAUAUCCGGUGUAGGCGUUAGAAUAUUGAGAGGAGCCUUCUUUAGUACGAGAGGAACGAGAAGGACAUACCUCUGGUGUACCAGUUAUCGUGCCAACGGUAAACGCUGGGUAGCUAUGUAUGGAGUGGAUAACCGCUGAAAGCAUCUAAGUGGGAAGCCCACCUCAAGAUAAGUAUUC
rnacentral:rRNA from 1 species